ACUAAGCAUAUCAAUAAGCGGAGGAAAAGAAACUAACAAGGAUUCCCCUAGUAACUGCGAGUGAAGCGGGAAAAGCUCAAAUUUAAAAUCUGUCAGUCUUUGGCUGUCCGAGUUGUAAUCUAGAGAAGUGUUAUCCGCGCUGGACCGUGUACAAGUCUCCUGGAAUGGAGCGUCAUAGAGGGUGAGAAUCCCGUCUUUGACACGGACUACCAGGGCUUUUGUGAUGCGCUCUCAAAGAGUCGAGUUGUUUGGGAAUGCAGCUCAAAAUGGGUGGUAAAUUCCAUCUAAAGCUAAAUAUUGGCGAGAGACCGAUAGCGAACAAGUACCGUGAGGGAAAGAUGAAAAGAACUUUGGAAAGAGAGUUAAACAGUACGUGAAAUUGCUGAAAGGGAAACGCUUGAAGUCAGUCGCGUUGACCAGGGAUCAACCCUUGCUAUUGCUUGGUGUACUUUCUGGYCGACGGGUCAGCAUCAAUUUUGACUAUUGGAAAAAGAUCAAGGGAAUGUGGCAUCUUCGGAUGUGUUAUAGCCCUUGGUUGCAUACAAUGGUUGGGAUUGAGGAACUCAAACAUAUUAUUAUGUGUUUAAGGAUGCUGGCAUAAUGGCUUUAAUCGACCCGUCUUGAAACACGGACCAAGGAGUCUAACAUGCCUGCGAGUGUUUGGGUGGAAAACCCGAGCGCGUAAUGAAAGUGAAAGUUGAGAUCCCUGUCGUGGGGAGCAUCGACGCCCGGACCAGACCUUUUGAGACGGCUCCGCGGUAGAGCAUGUAUGUUGGGACCCGAAAGAUGGUGAACUAUGCCUGAAUAGGGUGAAGCCAGAGGAAACUCUGGUGGAGGCUCGUAGCGAUUCUGACGUGCAAAUCGAUCGUCAAAUUUGGGUAUAGGGGCGAAAGACUAAUCGAACCAUCUAGUAGCUGGUUCCUGCCGA
rnacentral:rRNA from 1 species